CCCGGGCUUGGAGCAGAUUCAAAUGGUUGCUUGUUGAUGCCUAUGGAGUGCAAAGCUGAGAGCAUCUCAUCAACAAUGUUCAUGCCAUUGCCCUAGUUCUUUGGAGGAGAAACAAUUGGAAAUGAAGCAGCAUCAGACAUUGCUAUCUUUCCUUCUAUGCUCAAAAGCUUUCUUGCUUUCAUCGACGAUGCAAGGAAUAAGAAAAAGAUGAAAAAAACCACUA
rnacentral:lncRNA from 1 species